rnacentral:tRNA from 1 species
GCGUCCUUAGCUCAGAUGGAUUAGAGCGACAGCCUUCUAAGCUGUGGGUCGUAGGUUCGGGUCCUACAGGACGCA